CCAACCGGAGGCCCCGGUCGGGGAGCGCCCCGGGACAGGCCCCUGUGCCUCCAGCUUUGCGGAGUGACGCAGGCCCUGGGCUACAGCAACCUUACCAGCCCCUCCAGCUUAGAGGUGGCAGUGGCUCUCUGCGGCUGCGAUUUCUUUCUCGGAGCGUCCUCCCCAUCCCGUUCGGCCUCUGCCUCCACCGUCGUCUCUGUAACCCGUUCCCUGUGGGAGAGUCCCUGUUGCGGCGUUCAGGGGUUUCGGUUUUCUGGCCGAGCAGUGAUUAACGCGAGGGAAGGCGCUGACGGCAAGGUGGCAGGAAGAAAAUUCCAACACAGACCACAACACCUAUGGACCUGGAAAACAUUGUGCUCAGUGAAAGAAGCCAGACACAGAAGGACAAUGUUGUAUGAGGUCUUACUCUGUUGCCCAGGCUGGACUGCAGUGGUGCAAUCCUAGCUCACUGCAGCUUCGACUUCCCGUGCUCAAGUGAUUUUCCCACCUCAGCCUCCCGAGUAGCUGGGACUACAGGUGCGUGCCAUCACGCCUGGCUGAUUUUUCUUGUAUUUUUUUGUAGAGAUGGGGGUAUCGCUAUGUUGCCCAGGCUGGUCUUGAACACUUGGGCUCAAGUAAUUCUCCCGCCUUGGCCUCCCAAAGUGCUGGGAUUACAGGUGUGAGCCACUGUGCCUAGUGUGAAUGCAUUUAAUGCCACUGAAUUGUACACUUAAUAAUGGAGAAAAAUAUAAAUAUUCUGUUAAAUAUUUUACCACAAUAAAAAAAUGUGUGACAGUUGUCAGAAUCAA